CUACGAAGGGGGCUAGCGUUGUUCGGAAUUACUGGGCGUAAAGCGCGCGUAGGCGGAUUGGUCAGUUAGGGGUGAAAUCCCAGGGCUUAACCCUGGAACUGCCUCUAAUACUGCCAGUCUUGAGUUCGGGAGAGGUGAGUGGAAUUCCUAGUGUAGAGGUGAAAUUCGUAGAUAUUAGGAAGAACACCAGUGGCGAAGGCGGCUCACUGGCCCGAUACUGACGCUGAGGCGCGAAAGCGUGGGGAGCAAACAGGAUUAGAUACCCUUGUAGUCC
rnacentral:rRNA from 1 species